rfam:Fukomys damarensis contig90461, whole genome shotgun sequence.
GUUUGCCUUGGCAUGACAUACUGAAAUGGAACAGUACAGAGAUUAGCAUGGCCCCUGCAAAAGGGUCACAUGCAAAUUCAUAAAGCAUUCUAUACUUCU